rnacentral:rRNA from 1 species
UACAGAGGGUCAAGCGUUGUUCGGAAUUAUUGGGUCGUAAAGGGCGCGUAGGCGGUGCGGUAAGUCAUGUAGGUGAAAUCUCCUGGGCUCAACUCAGAGUCGUGCUGCAGAAACUGCCGUGCUUGAAGUGUGGGAGAGGUGAGUGGAAUUCCGGGUGUAGCGGUGGAAUGCGUAGAGAUCCGGAAGAACACCGGUGGCGAAGGCGGCCCGCUGGGCAGGAAGGCUCGGCAAGAGCCGGCUGACGCUGAGGCGCGACAGCGUGGGGAGCAAACAGG